GACGAACGCUGGCGGCGUGCUUAACACAUGCAAGUCGAACGAAAAGAGGGAAAGAGCUUGCUCUUUCCGGAAUUGAGUGGCAAACGGGUGAGUAACACGUAAACAACCUGCCUUCAGGAUGGGGACAACAGACGGAAACGACUGCUAAUACCGAAUAAGUUCCAAGAGCCGCAUGGCCCAUGGAAGAAAAGGUGGCCUCUACCUGUAAGCUAUCGCCUGAAGAGGGGUUUGCGUCUGAUUAGCUGGUUGGAGGGGUAACGGCCCACCAAGGCGACGAUCAGUAGCCGGUCUGAGAGGAUGAACGGCCACACUGGAACUGAGACCCGGUCCAGACUCCUACGGGAGGCAGCAGUGGGGAAUCUUCCGCAAUGGGCGAAAGCCUGACGGAGCAACGCCGCGUGAGUGAUGACGGCCUUCGGGUUGUAAAACUCUGUGAUCCGGGACGAAAAGGCAGAGUGCGAAGAACAAACUGCAUUGACGGUACCGGAAAAGCAAGCCACGGCUAACUACGUG
rnacentral:rRNA from 1 species